rnacentral:tRNA from 1 species
UAUUUAAAUAGCUUAAAAAGAGCAUAAUAUUGAAGAUAUUAAGGUGAUUAAUUAAAUCUUUAGAUAU